CGGGGGUGGAGGGCAAGACCUCCGUUCAUUUUCAAAGCUUUCUUUCUCAGGGCUUCCCAAACCCUUACCGAGCAAACCGAAUCAGCUGAGGUCUUGUUAAAAUGCAUGUUCUAAUUCAAUAGACCUGGGGCGGAGCCUGAAAUCCUGCAUUUCUAACAAGCUCUCAGGUGGUGCCGAAGCUGGAGCUUUCAGCAUUUCUGCAUUGUUGUUUUGAUGUGGCCUGGGAGUAAGAAGUAGACCCGAAAAGCGGGCCCCAUUCUACUCCUUGCCUUUCAGAGGUAGUGGAGAGGAAGAAGAAAUCAAAAUGAGAAACAACAAAAGAAAAAGAGGGCCGCUUUCUUUUAACGUGCCAGUCUCACGAGCCUCCUGCCGUUCUUGAUCAGAAGAGUGACUGACGUGGCAGGCGCCCCAGUCAAGGUGUGAACUGAUCCUGUUGACUAGGUGCGACUCUGGAUCCUAGCAUUGCAGCUUUGAGAUGCUGAGAUGUUGACAUCCAGUUCUGAGGAGAAAGAGACUGAAUCCACCACUACGUGGGGCUCAGCGUGGCUCCUCACCACAAGAUGAAUGGAUUUGGGAUUAUUAGGAGGAGCACUCUUAACAUGAAGAUUAACACAGUCUGGAAGGCACUUCAUUCGGCAAUAUCAAUGGUGCAAGGCUCCUUCCUGGACCUUGACAGGCCCCAGGCUAGCCCCCUGAGAUAGCUGAAGUGGAGUAGACUGUGGUAGCACCAGACCAUGAGUGUGGCUGACGGUGUGGAGUGUGAGCAUGUGCAAGGCCCCUUGGGGUCUCAUACAAGUAUUCAUGGGGACCGAGAAUGAGGCUCCUUGAUGUUGAUGAGCCUUCUCUGUAGCCACAGGCAGUGAGGACUGACAGCAUUCAGGUUAUACACCAAAUCAUGCCAAUUGCUCUUGUGCAACAAUAUCCUUCCAUCCAAGAACAAGGUCCAGCAGGACAGUAGUUAGUUUCCAAGCUCAUGGGAGGCUGAAUAGCAGAAAAGAUAUGAAAGCCAGCUCUAUAAUCAGACUGCCUGGGUUUCUCACUAUAAUCAGACUAACCAUGAAACCUUAACCUUUUGAUACCUUGGGUAUCAAAAUACCCAAGAGAAUAAUAAUAAAAUGUAAUUCAUAGGUCUAUGAGAAUUAACAAGUAAAACUCAUGACAGCCUUAGAACAGUGACAGACAUGUAUAAACCCCAAGAAAGGUCAGCAGUUUGUAUUAUUACACAAUGUACCAGGAUACUUAAAACAGCAUCAUGGAGACUGAUUCAGCUCUUUUCUAGAAACAAAAGAAGCAGGAGGAGGGCUGAUUGGUCUCUGGAUCCCCAUGGGGCUAGUGAGUCUAGGAGUUAGAAGACAAUGAGAUUGCAACACUAUUUAUAACAGCCAGGAUAUGGAAGUGACCUAGAUGUCCAUCAGGAGAUGAAUGGGUCAAGAAGUUGUGGUCCUUAUAUACAAUGGAAUAUACUCAGCCAUAAAAAAAGAAUGAAUUUGAGCCCUAAUGAGGUAGAUGAUCCUAGAGCCUGUUAUACAGAGUGAAGUAAGUCAGAAAGAAAAAAACAAAUAUCCUAUAUUAACGCAUACAUAUGGAGUCUAGAAAGAUGAACCUCUUUGCAGGGGAGGAAUAGAGAUGCAGACAUAGAGAACAGACUUGUGAGCGCAGCAGAGGAAGGAGAAGGUGGGACAAAUUGAGAGAGUAGCGCUGAAACAUAUGCAUUACCAUAUGUAAAAUAGUUGUGUCCAACUCUUUGUGACCCCAUGGACUAUAGCCCGCCAGGUUCUUCCAUCCAUGGGAUUUUCCAGGCAAGAAUACUGUAGUGGCUUGCCAUUUCCUUCUCCAGGGGAUCUUCCCAACCCAGGGAUUGAACCCCGGUCUCCAGCAUUGAAGGCAGAUUCUUUACCACUGAGCCACAAGGGAAGCCCCAUAAUACAGAUAGCUAGUGGAAAGUUGCUGUAUAACACAGGAAGCUCCAUCUGGCACUCUGUGACAACCUGGAGGGAUGGGAGGGUGGUUCAAGAAUGAGGGGACGUAUGUACACAUAUGGCUGAUUCAUGUUAUUGUCU
ensembl:lncRNA